UACAGAGGGUGCAAGCGUUGUUCGGAAUUGCUGGGCGUAAAGCGUGCGUAGUCGGUAUUGAGAGUCGCGGGUGAAAUCCCAGGGCUUAACCCUGGAACUGCCUGCGAGACCUCAGUACUAGAGUGUGAGAGGGGAUAGUGGAAUACCCAGUGUAGCGGUGAAAUGCGUAGAGAUUGGGUGGAACACCGGUGGCGAAGGCGGCUAUCUGGCUCACAACUGACGAUCAGGCACGAAAGCGUGGGGAGCAAACAGG
rnacentral:rRNA from 1 species